GAGGGUAUAGCUCAAGUGGUGGAGUGCAUGCUUAGAACACUUGAGGCCCUGGGUUCAAUCCCCAGUACCGCCU
rnacentral:tRNA from 1 species